GACGAACGCUGGCGGCGUGCUUAACACAUGCAAGUCGAACGGAAAGGCCCUGCUUUUGUGGGGUGCUCGAGUGGCGAACGGGUGAGUAUCACGUGAGUAACCUGCCCUUGACUUUGGGAUAACUUCAGGAAACUGGGGCUCAUACCGGAUAUGAGCUCCUGCUGCAUGGUGGGGGUGGGAAAGUUGCGGCGGUUGGGGAUGCACUCGCGGCUUAUCAGCUUGUUGGUGGGGUAGUGGCUUACCAAGGCGUUGACGGGUAGCCGGACUGAGAGGGUGACCGGCCACAUUGGGACUGAGAAACGGCCCAGACUCAUACGGGAGGCAGCAGUGGGAGAUAGUGCACGCUGGGCGGAAGCAUGAUGCAGCAACGCCGCGUGCGAGAUGACGGCCUUCGGGUUGUAACCCGCUUUCGCCUGUGACGAAGAGCGAGUGACGGUAAUGGGUAAAGAAGCACCGGCUAACUACGUG
rnacentral:rRNA from 1 species